UACGUAGGGUGCGAGCGUUAAUCGGAAUUACUGGGCGUAAAGCGUGCGCAGGCGGUUUUGUAAGCCAGGUGUGAAAUCCCCGGGCUCAACCUGGGAAUGGCAUUUGGGAUUGCAAGGCUGGAGUGUGGCAGAGGAGACUGGAAUUCCUGGUGUAGCAGUGAAAUGCGUAGAUAUCAGGAGGAAUACCGAUGGCGAAGGCAGCCCCCUGGGCUAACACUGACGCUCAUGCACGAAAGCGUGGGGAGCAAACAGG
rnacentral:rRNA from 1 species